rnacentral:lncRNA from 1 species
ACGCAGCAAAGAUUAAAACAUGGUAAACAUACAAGCCAUUCACAUACAUAACAACAAUAAAAAUUCAAGAUGAAAAUAGAGAAAAGAAGAAAUAAUGGAACUUAAAUUUAAGGUUUUCAAGUAUAAUUACUCCUUCCGAUUACAACUGCCUCCAAGAUCUCGAUCCAAACCUCAACAAAACAAACAAACCAACCUUGAUCUGCCCUUUUUUGAUUUUUUCACAAAUCUAAACCCAUUAAAUCAUGAAGUAAUGAGAAACCAUUCUAGAUUUUGUAUGUAACAUUACUGCUUAAUUUGUUUUUCAUCAGAUUUCAUUAGAGCUGGGGCUGGUUGGGUUGGUUUUGACUGUUUUCCAGUGGAUUUCCAUCAGAGUUGAUUGAAUUUUUGUCCAAAGCUUCUCGUUUUGCAUGUUUUCACUAAAUUUUUACCGGAUCUGGUAGGAUUUUUGGUUAGAUGGGUUUGUUUUCAGGUGUUUUCAUUGUUGUUUUAAUGUUUUCAAUCAACUUUUGAUAGUAACAGCAACACACGAUAAUUGGGUUACUCUCCGAUUGAAGAUUCCAGCGAUAAUUUUACCGAAAAACUUCACCGAUGACCAUUUUCUCCCUUUUUCCACUCUUUCAUGUGCACAAUCAUGAUUUCUCUCCUUCACCUUUUUCCUUUUAUGUUUUCUCUAUUGGUUGAUCAUGGAUUUUGUAAAACCAUUAUUGUUCUCUUCUCGUCCCUUUAUUUUUCUCUUUUCUUUUACUGUUUUUAUCCUCUCCAAAUUUUGCUCUCUGUGUGUGGAGUUCCUUCUCAUAUAACUAUGUGUGAGUAUAUACUAUGAAUUGAAAUGGAAAAUUAUAUAAGGGGGAUUAUUUCCAGUUUAUGAGUGUGUGUAUAUUCUUACUGCUUUACCC